CAUGCAAGUAGACGCACAGGAUGCACCGUAGUUUACUACACCGUAUUCUGUGAGUUGCGAACGGGUGAGUAACGCGUAGGUAACCUGCCUGGUAGCGGGGGAUAACUAUUGGAAACGAUAGCUAAUACCGCAUAAGAACAUUUACUGCAUGGUAGAUGUUUAAAAGGUGCAAGAGCAUCACUACCAGAUGGACCUGCGUUGUAUUAGCUAGUUGGUGAGGUAACGGCUCACCAAGGCAACGAUACAUAGCCGACCUGAGAGGGUGAUCGGCCACACUGGGACUGAGACACGGCCCAGACUCCUACGGGAGGCAGCAGUAGGGAAUCUUCGGCAAUGGGGGGAACCCUGACCGAGCAACGCCGCGUGAGUGAAGAAGGUUUUCGGAUCGUAAAGCUCUGUUGUUAAGGAAGAACGUGUGUGAGAGUGGAAAGUUCACACAGUGACGGUACUUAACCAGAAAGGGACGG
rnacentral:rRNA from 1 species